rnacentral:rRNA from 1 species
UACAGAGGGUGCAAGCGUUAAUCGGAGUUACUGGGCGUAAAGGGCGCGUAGGUGGUUAUGUAAGUGAGAUGUGAAAUCCCUGGGCUUAACCUAGGAACUGCAUCUUAUACUGCAUAACUGGAGUACUGUAGAGGGUAGUGGAAUUUCCGGUGUAGCGGUGAAAUGCGUAGAGAUCGGAAGGAACACCAGUGGCGAAGGGCGGCUACCUGGACAGUAACUGA